rnacentral:rRNA from 1 species
UACGGGGGGAGCAAGCGUUGUUCGGAUUUACUGGGCGUAAAGGGCGCGUAGGCGGUCGUGACAAGUCACUUGUGAAAUCUCCGGGCUUAACUCGGAACGGUCAAGUGAUACUGUCGGACUAGAGUACAGAAGGGGCAACUGGAAUUCUCGGUGUAGCGGUGAAAUGCGCAGAUAUCAGGAGGAACACCUAUUGCGAAGGCAGCUCGCUGGGACGUAACUGACGCUGAGACGCGAAAGCGUGGGGAGCAAACAGG